rnacentral:rRNA from 2 species
AGAGUUUGAUCCUGGCUCAGAACGUACGCUGGCGGCACGCCUAAUACAUGCAAGUCGAACGAAGUAGCAAUACUUAGUGGCAGACGGGUGAGUAACAUGUGGGUAUCUUCCCUUUGGUGAGGAAUAACACGAGGAAACUUGUGCUAAUACCUCAUAAGUCUUUACGGAGAAAGCUUUAUGCGCCAAUGGAUGAGCCCGCACUUGAUUAGUUUGUUGGUGGGGUAAUGGCCUACCAAGACAAUGAUCAAUAGCUGAUUUGAGAGGAUGAUCAGCCACAUUGGGACUGAGACACGGCCCAAACUCCUACGGGAGGCAGCAGUAGGGAAUCUUGCACAAUGGGGGAAACCCUGAUGCAGCGAUGCCGCGUGAGUGAAGAAGGCCCUUGGGUUGUAAAGCUCUUUCGUCGGGGAAGAAAAUGACUGUACCCGAAUAAGAAGGUCCGGCUAACUUCGUGCCAGCAGCCGCGGUAAUACGAAGGGACCUAGCGUAGUUCGGAAUUACUGGGCUUAAAGAGUUCGUAGGUGGUUAAAAAAGUUGGUGGUGAAAUCCCAGAGCUUAACUCUGGAACUGCCAUCAAAACUUUUUAGCUAGAGUAUGAUAGAGGAAAGCAGAAUUUCUAGUGUAGAGGUGAAAUUCGUAGAUAUUAGAAAGAAUACCAAUUGCGAAGGCAGCUUUCUGGAUCAUUACUGACACUGAGGAACGAAAGCAUGGGUAGCGAAGAGGAUUAGAUACCCUCGUAGUCCAUGCCGUAAACGAUGUGUGUUAGACGUUGGAAAUUUAUUUUCAGUGUCACAGUGAAAACAAUAAACACACCGCCUGGGGAGUACGACCGCAAGGUCAAAGCUCAAAUGAGUUGACGGGGACCCGCACAAGUAGUGGAGCAUGUGGUUUAAUUCGAAGAUACGCGCAGAACCUUACCAACACUUGACAUGUUCGUCGCGACUCUAAGAGAUUAGAGUUUUCGGUUCGGCCGGACGAAACACAGGUGCUGCAUGGCUGUCGUCAGCUCGUGUCGUGAGAUGUUGGGUUAAGUCCCGCAACGAGCGCAACCCUUACUUUUAGUUGCCAUCAUUUAGUUGGGCACUCUGAAAGAACUGCCAGUGAUAAGCUGGAGGAAGGUGGGGAUGACGUCAAGUCCUCAUGGCCCUUACGUGUUGGGCUACACACGUGCUACAAUGGUAUCUACAACAGGAAGCAAGAUGGCAACAUUAAGCAAAUCCUAAAAAGUUACCUCAGUUCGGAUUGCACUCUGCAACUCGAGUGCAUGAAGCUGGAAUUACUAGUAAUCGCGGAUCAGCGUGCCGCGGUGAAUACGUUCCCGGGUCUUGUACACACCGCCCGUCACACCAUGGGAGUUGGUUCUACCUUAAGGCAAAGUUUAAAAACUUUGACCACGGUAUAGUCGGCGACUGGGGUGAAGUCGUAACAAGGUAACC